AUGGUACUCCCUUUAUCCGGAAAUACAUGUUGGAGGAAAGGAUGUAUCUAGACAUAUUUUAAUGUUAGAUAAAUCCAUUUUUAAUCAUUUCUACGACAAGUAUUUUCGGACGGAGGGAGUAUUCU
rfam:Triticum aestivum genome assembly, contig: Triticum_aestivum_CS42_TGACv1_scaffold_577330_7BL